rnacentral:tRNA from 1 species
GAGGGUGUGGCUCAAGUGGUAAAGCACUGGCCUAGCUAGCCUGAGGUUCUGAGUUCAAACCUCAGUAUUGACA